rnacentral:snRNA from 1 species
AUCGCUUCUCUGCCUUUUGGCUAAGAUCAAGUGUAGACUCUGUACAUUUAUCAAAAUUCACUGAACUCAUAAAGCUUUCUUGUAUCUGUGGGUCAUAUUUCAGUACUAAUGAUUUGGAGGAAAAACAUA